UACGAAGGGGGCUAGCGUUGCUCGGAAUGACUGGGCGUAAAGGGCGCGUAGGCGGUUUGCACAGUCAGGCGUGAAAUUCCUGGGCUUAACCUGGGGGCUGCGCUUGAUACGUGUGGACUGGAGUGCGGAAGAGGGUCGUGGAAUUCCCAGUGUAGAGGUGAAAUUCGUAGAUAUUGGGAAGAACACCCGUGGCGAAGGCGGUUCUCUGGGACGGUACUGACGCUGAGACGCGAAAGCGUGGGGAGCGAACAGG
rnacentral:rRNA from 1 species